GAUCGGUUUGCUCUUUCAUGCAGAGCCAAAAAGAACUUAAGCCUGUGUUGACUGUGUCUGAGAAACAGCCUCUGGCCCAGGGGACCCAGUAUGCACGACCCUAAGGAGGAAGGGGCAGGUAAAGGCCGCCUCUGCUGCACACCAGUGUAUCCCCGAGGCCUGGGUCCCCACAGUCAGGGUGGCCAGCAGGCAGGCCGGGAGCUGCCUUCUCUACUUCAGCCAGAGCAGCUCCACUGUUAACAUUUGUUUAAUAGAGGUGACCACACCAGCCCAGACCCAGCAGUUUGCCGAGGAUGUAACUCCUGUUUUUCAUCGAUUCCUUGCAAUUCAGGGAAACGCAUGCGCAGGGAACAAUACCUGCUACCCAACUGUUUCUAAUUAUCUUCAAACCAAAUGAUUCAGCACAACUCAGGAAUCCGAUGUUGCAAGGAGACAAUAGAGAAGAAAACCCCCUUGUGAAUCAACACGCACUGGGAGCUUCUCCUGCUCAGCCCUGAGCUGUACCUGUACAAGUUGGGAAGGGGAGGGAGCUGUAGAAGAAGUGCUGGCAUCCAGCCAGCUCACAGAAAUCUCCUGAUCUUUCCAAUCAAUAUCCUCUGUUAUGGUUUGUGUCUGGAU